AGAGUUUGAUCAUGGCUCAGAUUGAACGCUGGCGGCAUGCCUAACACAUGCAAGUCGAACGGUAACGCGAAGAGCUUGCUCUUUGGCGACGAGUGGCGGACGGGUGAGUAAUACUUAGGAGUCUACCCAGUAGUGGGGGACAACUCGGGGAAACUCGAGCUAAUACCGCAUACGCCCCAAGGGGGAAAGCGGGGGAUCUUCGGACCUCGCGCUAUUGGAUGAGCCUAAGUCGGAUUAGCUAGUUGGUAGGGUAAAAGCCUACCAAGGCGACGAUCCGUAGCUGGUCUGAGAGGACGAUCAGCCACACUGGGACUGAGACACGGCCCAGACUCCUACGGGAGGCAGCAGUGGGGAAUAUUGGACAAUGGGGGCAACCCUGAUCCAGCAAUGCCGCGUGUGUGAAGAAGGCCUGCGGGUUGUAAAGCACUUUCAGUAGAGAAGAAAAGCCUAAGGUUAAUAACCUUGAGUCUUGACGUAACCUACAGAAGAG
rnacentral:rRNA from 1 species